UGGCGGCAGUAGCGCGGUGGUCCCACCUGACCCCAUGCCGAACUCAGAAGUGAAACGCCGUAGCGCCGAUGGUAGUGUGGGUCUCCCGACUAGGCCGAAGACGUAGGGGAACUGCCAGGCA
rnacentral:rRNA from 1 species